UCGGGUAUGGUGUAGCGGUAACAUCAGCGACUCUCAAACAUGAGUACUCGCUAGCCCGGGGUUCGACUCCCCGUAUCCGAG
rnacentral:tRNA from 1 species